GACGAACGCUGGCGGCGUGCUUAACACAUGCAAGUCGAGCGGUAAGGCUCCUUCGGGAGUACACGAGCGGCGAACGGGUGAGUAACACGUGAGCAAUCUGCCCUUCACUUCGGGAUAACCCUCGGAAACGAGAGCUAAUACCGAAUACGACCACUUCAGGCAUCUGAUGGUGGUGGAAAGUUCCGGCGGUGAAGGAUGAGCUCGCGGCCUAUCAGCUUGUUGGUGAGGUAAUGGCUCACCAAGGCUUCGACGGGUAGCCGGCCUGAGAGGGUGACCGGCCACACUGGGACUGAGACACGGCCCAGACUCCUACGGGAGGCAGCAGUGGGGAAUAUUGGACAAUGGCGAAAGCCUGAUCCAGCAACGCCGCGUGAGGGAUGACGGCCUUCGGGUUGUAAACCUCUUUCAGCAGGGACGAAAGUGACGGUACCUGCAGAAGAAGCACCGGCUAACUACGUGCCAGCAGCCGCAGUAAAAC
rnacentral:rRNA from 1 species